GACGAACGCUGGCGGCGUGCUUAACACAUGCAAGUCGAACGAUGAAGCCCUUCGGGGUGGAUUAGUGGCGAACGGGUGAGUAACACGUGGGCAAUCUGCCCUUCACUCUGGGACAAGCCCUGGAAACGGGGUCUAAUACCGGAUACCACUCCUGCCUGCAUGGGCGGGGGUUGAAAGCUCCGGCGGUGAAGGAUGAGCCCGCGGCCUAUCAGCUUGUUGGUGGGGUAAUGGCCCACCAAGGCGACGACGGGUAGCCGGCCUGGGAGGGCGACCGGCCACACUGGGACUGAGACACGGCCCAGACUCCUACGGGAGGCAGCAGUGGGGAAUAUUGCACAAUGGGCGAAAGCCUGAUGCAGCGACGCCGCGUGAGGGAUGACGGCCUUCGGGUUGUAAACCUCUUUCAGCAGGGAAGAAGCGAAAGUGACGGUACCUGCAGAAGAAGCGCCGGCUAACUACGUG
rnacentral:rRNA from 1 species